AUCGUAAAUGCUUUGCGUGGUAUUUUUUUUUAAUAGGACUUGUCUCGCAGGUUCAAACAAUUACGAUCAAGACGAAUUUGUCAACAUUGAACAACUACUGAAUACAUCACAGGACGCCGCUUCAAAUCAAGAUUUACAAGGGACUAUAGAGCGACCGGUAUUUAUUGACCUGACACAUGACGAGGAGGACUGGCUCCAGCAGAGCAUUGUUAGAUCUUACAGCACAUGACGAGGAGGCUGGCUCCAGCAGAGCGGUUCCGGACCCCUCAUUAUUAAUAGGUAAGCUAUGACUACCAUUUAAUAUAGUCACGCCAUUGUGCUU